AGCGAACGCUGGCGGCGGGCCUAACACAUGCAAGUCGAACGAAGUCUUCGGACUUAGUGGCGGACGGGUGAGUAACACGUGGGAACGUACCUUUUGGUUCGGAAUAACGCAGGGAAACUUGCGCUAAUACCGAAUGUGCCCUUAGGGGGAAAGAUUUAUCGCCAUUAGAGCGGCCCGCGUUGGAUUAGGUAGUUGGUGUGGUAAGGGCGCACCAAGCCUACGAUCCAUAGCUGGUCUGAGAGGAUGAUCAGCCACACUGGGACUGAGACACGGCCCAGACUCCUACGGGAGGCAGCAGUGGGGAAUCUUGCGCAAUGGUCGAAAGACUGACGCAGCCAUGCCGCGUGAAUGAUGAAGGUCUUAGGAUUGUAAAAUUCUUUUAGCAGGGACGAUAAUGACGGUACCUGCAGAAAAAGCCCCGGCUAACUUCGUGCCAGCCGCCGCCGUAAUAC
rnacentral:rRNA from 1 species